rnacentral:rRNA from 1 species
UACAGAGGGUGCAAGCGUUAAUCGGAAUUACUGGCGUAAGCGUGCGUAGACGGUUGCAUAAGUCAGAUGUGAAAGCCCCGGGCUCAACCUGGGAAUUGCAUUUGAGACUGUGUAGCUAGGGUGCGGAAGAGGGAAGCGGAAUUUCCGGUGUAGCGGUGAAAUGCGUAGAUAUCGGAAGGAACACCAGUGGCGAAAGCGGCUUCCUGGUCCAGCACCGACGUUCAGGCACGAAAGCGUGGGGAGCAAACAGG